GUUGAUGAAAUGCCAGAGUAAAAGGGGUAGC
rnacentral:piRNA from 1 species